GAAACACGCAGAGCAAGAGAACUUUUUUAACCCUCGAAAACGGGUCCACGGUUCGUCCGUGUCUCUCAAAUCACGCGUCUGUCGCUGGUUCAUAAACCCCUGAUGGUGGCGUCUCGGUCCAACCAGUCGCCGCCGCGUGUGCUUCCCCCGAAUGCGUUUGGCCUCUUUCGUGUUCGCUUUUGGAGUGAACCUUACGAUUCCGGCCACGCCGAGGGUUCCUCGUCAGCGGCGUUCAUUCCGAGUUCUUCUCCAUCUCCGCUUCGUCUCCCCCCGUCGAAAUUGCUGUCGUCUAUCGAGACCGGAGAUGGUUCCUCCGCGUCGUCAGCGAACAUGAUCCUUCCCUUCCCCCCCAGCGCUCUCGCUUUCCUCCCUGGCGUCUCCCCUGCGGAUGCGGCGUCCUCGCUCGCAAUCUCAUCGUACGCGUUUCUGGGGUUCCGUAAGGCGGUUCCUUCUCUGGGAGUCGUUGAACUGCCGAGGUCCAUCUCAGGGAGACGCUGAUCGCCUGAAGUCUUGCGUUUUUCGCCUUCUGUCCUCUCAGGCGCGCCUCCCGUGGCGCUGCCGUUCGCCUUGGCGACAAUCCCCGAAGGUUCCAUCUCGCUGCGAAAAGGGCCUUUCCCGACUUUCGCUGUCUCUGUAAAAAGUGCGUCGUUGUGGAAACCCCGUCGCUUUCCCGCAGAUCUUCCGCCGCAAUCCGCGAAACGCGUCGGAGUCUCCAGGCGGGAGAUCAGCCCCCGCGAGGCGUUCCCUCGCUUUCUGAGGCAGUCGGGCACGUGUCGUGAAAUGCAGCGAACAAACUGGCGAACAGACCCUCAACAGGCGAAAGAACGAGGGAUUGACCUGAAGUUUGUGGACUCAAAAAGGCGUGUGUGUGCUGAUCUUUAGGGCAUGCCCCUGGAUUAGCACGGCAUCCGUGAACGCGGUCUUCCUGCGAACGCUUCUCACGAGGCAGCCGGGUCACAUGCUUGUCAGUCCAGUGAAAAGACUCUGGAAGUUGCCGUCCGUCGCGCAG
rnacentral:lncRNA from 1 species